CAUAAAUAUGAUUUCCUAAAGAUAUAAUUAUUGUUGUUUGAUUCAAUUCAAAUUGUUAAAGUUGAUCAUGAUUUAUGUUGGUAAACUUUUAUUUUACAUUGUAGCUUCCAAAUUACUUUGUUCUAUCAGGAAGUUUUAAGUAUAUUUGUAUACUUAUAAACAAUAACCAGUUUUAAGAGAAGAUGUUUUUAAUUCAGAAUAUAGUGGAACUAAUAAUCAAGAUGGAUAUCAUGUUCCAAACAAGUAACUUGCUGUGUUUUCUUUUCAAUGGAUUCAAGUGAGUUUUGUAAGAGCAAUUUGAUGAUCUUGUUACGAAAAUCAGAUAUGAUAAAAGUUUGUUCAACUUAAUGAUUAAAUCUUUCCUAUUUAUUUAAUGGGUUGGGUUGAGGUUUAAAAUUGUAUUUAUAUUUCUUAAGUUAGUUUAUGAAAUCAAAUUAUCAUAAGCCAUGUUGUUUGAUAGUAUCCUCUGUGAAUUAGAAUGAGGUUAAUUGGAGUUAGAGAUUGAUAUAGUGAAUUGAAUUAGUAGAAUGGUUUGUAAAUAAGGAGUUGUGGGUAGUUGAAAGAGGUUAGAAGGUAUGAGAAAGUUAAUUUCUUUAUCUAAUUGGUAGUAAGGAUGUUAAUUGUUGUUCAUAUUGUUAUGAGGUGAUUGUUGGAGAUUGAUAAAGAAUUUAGAGAUGUCGGACCUUGAAGAUUAUAAUGGAAUCGAGCGUUCUUUGGGGAAAUGAAGGAGAGUUCAUUGUUACUGAUCUUGCAGGUUCGUGCGUGGAAAACUCGGAAUGGAGUGAAAGGAAGAAUUUAGGUAUCAAGGUUAUAGUUAGAUGUAAUGGUUCAGAGUUUGUAUUAGGGUUAUAUAACCUUAUUUGUGAAGAAAUUAUUAUAUUGCUUUAGAAGUCGAGCAAGGUAUUAUGUAAUAUGUUAUUUGGUUAUUGAGGAUGAUUUGUUGUGGGCCCAUAACCCACGGGUCCAGGAUCGUUUAUAGGUUAUGUUUCCACUGCAAGUAAAUGUAAUUCGAGGUGAUUAAGCGUUAAUUGUAAUUAGCGUAUCUUAAGUGGAUUUAGCUAGCAGUUCGGAAGUGCGGGCUGUUACACCCACCUACCUUAUUUUUCUUUCUCCUCGAUCUUUUAUUUACUUUUUGUACUUCUUA